AAAAAUGGCUGUGCAAAUGAUAAAUUUGGAGGCUAUGGUUCUAUACUGCCGAUGCAUUCAAGUAGCUCUGAGGUAUCCAUUAGCUCCAAAGCCUCACAAGUCUCGCGUUACUCAAGCUUCUCAUUAGAUCUGCAUGCAUUGAUUCUUCCUGUUGAAUCCUCUCAUGGCUUUGCAUGACUAGAAUUUCAUCAAGGGACCCACGAAAGGAAGCGUGAUGCUUGUCCGGAUCUUGCCCGGAUGUUCAUGUGCUUACUGAGGGUUGCAGCUGUGAUCAGAAGUCCAUUUCAUGCUUUAACUUGAUAAUAAGAUUGUUAAGAUAAUUUACGGCAUAAACUGUGUCGGCAUCACUUUUCUGAGGCUAAUGUUUGUCAUCAACAUAUCCAAUAA